AGCAAAUUCUCUAUAGAGAAUUCAAAAAUCGAGCGUGAGGGCGGCGCGUGCGGUUGUGCGAAGAACUAGUAGUGAACAACUAGCGAAUCUGGCGGAAAGACAUGCAAACGGCUUUUGACAGUUCUCGCGUGGAGCAAUUUCCACGAAUUUACUCGCGCAGUUUUUGUGAAAAAUCCGGAAAAUAGUGAAGAAAGUUCUUUAAAAACAAGUGCAAAGGUGUGAGAAAACUCUUAAUGAUAGAUCUUAGUGGUGGCAAGUGAAAAAAAUGAUGUGCAUUGUGAGAAAUUGCAAAAACAGCGACCAGCGAAAUCCUCUGGGGGUGUCAUUCCACAGAUUUCCAGUAAUUUUAGAACUGUGCGCAACUCGUCUGAAGCUCUCAGUUGCACUUGUGGACCGAAAUAAAGCCGUAUGCAGCCUCCACACUUCAAUCCAUAAAAUAUUUCACGGAAAAGUGCCUCAAAAGUGAAGCGCUCGAAGUACGUGCGAUCCUUUGCUAAAGACUCCCUACCAAUCGCAUUCAUUGGUACCACAUCUUUUGAUGGAAAGCAAUAUGCAGAACUACUUGAGUGUGACCAUCUCUGUUCUCACAUGUCACGAUAAAGAGCCUAUUUUUAUUUUAGAUGGAAACAGUCAAUGAGAAUGGAUAUGCAACAUCAUACGGUGUAAGAAAUCCAGGCAAAGGACACAUGAAGAUGUCAAUCGUAUUACCAAAGCUGAUUCGAAAUAAGUUUUGAAAGUAUUAUAGAAACAAAUUUUACUCCAAUGCAACGAAUAAGUUAGAGUUAGCAAUUAUGUUUUAUUAUUUCUUACUAUUUUUAUGCAGAAUUAAGAAAAAUGAUGGACUUGAUCUUUAAUUGUUUCGAAUAAUUAUAAAAAGUAAUGAAUUUAUCCUAAUUUAUAGAUAGCUAUUUUUAAAAUAAAUUUAUUCUCUAUUAAAAUUUUUGUUUUUUUAACCUACUUCAAUUCAAUUUGCAAGUUUGUGGCAAAAUAUUUAAAUUGUGUCUCGUGUUGGAUUCACAUAAUGAUUUAUACUUGAAAUUCUCCUAGAUCUUUG